GAUGAACGCUAGCGGCAGGCUUAACACAUGCAAGUCGAGGGGUAUUGGUUUUCGGACCAAGAGACCGGCGCACGGGUGCGUAACGCGUAUGCAAUCUACCUUUCACAGAGGGAUAGCCCAGAGAAAUUUGGAUUAAUACCUCAUAGUAUUAUAGGAUGGCAUCAUUUUAUAAUUAAAGUCACAACGGUGAAAGAUGAGCAUGCGUCCCAUUAGCUUGUUGGUAAGGUAACGGCUUACCAAGGCUACGAUGGGUAGGGGUCCUGAGAGGGAGACCCCCCACACUGGUACUGAGACACGGACCAGACUCCUACGGGAGGCAGCAGUGAGGAAUAUUGGUCAAUGGACGCAAGUCUGAACCAGCCAUGCCGCGGGCAGGAUGACGGUCCUAUGGAUUGUAAUCUGCUUUUGCACAGGAAGAAACAACAUUACGUGUAAUGUCUUGACGGUACUGUGAGAAUAAGGAUCGGCUAACUCCGUGCCAGCAGCCGCGGUAA
rnacentral:rRNA from 1 species